rnacentral:rRNA from 1 species
GAUGAACGCUGGCGGCGUGCCUAAUACAUGCAAGUCGAGCGAACAGACGAGGAGCUUGCUCCUCUGACGUUAGCGGCGGACGGGUGAGUAACACGUGGAUAACCUACCUAUAAGACUGGGAUAACUUCGGGAAACCGGAGCUAAUACCGGAUAAUAUAUUGAACCGCAUGGUUCAAUAGUGAAAGACGGUUUUGCUGUCACUUAUAGAUGGAUCCGCGCCGCAUUAGCUAGUUGGUAAGGUAACGGCUUACCAAGGCAACGAUGCGUAGCCGACCUGAGAGGGUGAUCGGCCACACUGGAACUGAGACACGGUCCAGACUCCUACGGGAGGCAGCAGUAGGGAAUCUUCCGCAGUGGGCGAAAGCCUGACGGAGCAACGCCGCGUGAGUGAUGAAGGUCUUCGGAUCGUAAAACUCUGUUAUUAGGGAAGAACAGAUGUGUAAGUAACUAUGCACGUCUUGACGGUACCUAAUCAGAAAGCCACGGCUAACUACGUG